GCAGGCACCUUAUGUAGGGCAGAUGAAAACUAGAGGGUAGCAUAGAUUGCUCUGUUUAUUUCAUAGACCAAAGUAAGGGGAAGACAAUACAUUUCUUUGACUUCAUUAUGAAUCAGCAGUCUAGGGUGAAGCAACUCCCCUUUGAAUAAUUUAUCUUCACAUCUUUCACAUGCUCAUCUGACAUACAAGGUUAAGCUCAGUACAACUGUACUUGCAUCCUACUGCAAAUCAAUGACCAACUCAGCAGAUCUGCUCCUAUUAAAACAAAACUAUUGAUAUUACAAAGAUACAUAAAUAUUGAGGGUGGUGCUGCAGAAAGCAGUGUCUCAGGAGAGAAACAAUGAGUCAAGCUAGAAAUGGGCUCAAAUCCUGGGCUACAUGAGUAGGGUCUUAAUGGGAGCCUAUCUCUGCAUAAAACAUUUUCAAGUUGUUUUGUGGACAAAGGGAAGAUGUAACCGGUAAAGCUGUGUGCUUAUCUUUCUGUGUGUAGUUUCUUUUUCACAGUAAGGACUGAUUUUUACCUGCAGAUCAGAGAGAGUCCACGUCUUCCACUUCACACUGGUAUUGUGUUCAGGAACUUUAAAGCAGGAUAUAGGCUGCUUGGGGUUCCUCUGUUUUUUAUCACUUUAAAUACAGAAAGACAGGUUAAGAUGCUUACUUCUAAAGAAUAAGGUAGCCACCAGAUUUACAAUAGCUGCAAACUGGCUAACAUGUCCUGGUCUUUGUGCUGUGUACAGGCACUCACACAGCAGAAACUUGCCAGCUGCUCAGGUGCUUGGUUUCGUAAUGCCCAUUGCACAAAAGGCUGGACGCAGUGCCACCUUGCUUUUUGUUCCUACAUCUUUCCUACCAGUUGACCAAGCUUUGGCUCUUGUGCUGUCUGUAGGCAUACCUGGUUCUCCCAAAGAUGGACUCACAGCACACUUUACCCUACUUGUUCACGUUACCCGCCAGCAUAGGAUGGCACAUCCUUAUUUCACAAAACGUCUGUGAACAGAAGCCAUCCCCAAGCCAUGGGCCCACUGGGUUGCUUCCCAUAGGAGGAGAAUGUUGGCUGCCAGCUCAGAUGCAUGAUCAUCUUAUUCUGCCUGAAUAAGUUAGUAGAGCUGCAGCAAUUAUGCAUGCAUGUGAUCUUAAUGUCGGAAACACAUGGUAAAAACGCAGCAGCAUGAAAUGUAUUGAUCCACAGAAUUACACAGUUAGGUCUCUGAGUGUAGAGCUUGUUUGUGUUUUCUUUUUCACUCUAGCAGAUUUAUUUAGUAAAAUGUACCAAAAAUAUUUAUCCUCAAAAUAAUCAGUGUGAAAUGGGACAUUGUUUCUUUCAUCACUAUUUCAGCUGGUGCUCAGUCCAGAAAGCUCUCUAAACUGCAUUUGUUCCACAUUUAUUUUAGCUGUCUUCUUUUUCUCUUCUUUCACUGGGUCUGGUUUUUGUUUUGUUUUAUCUUUGUCAUGCCCCUUGCAUGUUCUAGCAGUGAGUACCUGCACUGACUACAGCAAAUGGAGAUUUCACAAUAUAAAGUGUAUAGAGGCAGUUCUGGUGUAUUGUCAGUUGUCAAUGACAGUCUAUAGGAAAGACAUUGUACUGGAAACUGUGAGCAGGGAGAUAAUAGGAAAAAAUGGUGUAUGAGUUGAAAUAAUGAAUAAAUGAGAGUACAAAGUUAAACGGCAUUCUCAGGACAAGCAACUAGUUUUUAAAAGGAUGAUGAGAUUAUAACCUUUAGCAGGCACCAGAGGCAGUAUCUGGAGAAGGGAUUAAUAGUGUAGAACAGCUACUGCAGUAAAAUAGUUGACUACUUAGUAUAGUUUCUGUAAGCAGAAAGCUUGUCUUUGCAACAAAGUAGUGUUAAAUUGCACCGCUGCUGGCACAUCCUAUAUUCUGAGCAAAUGUGCCUGGAUGUAAGGGAUGGAUCUCAACUCAGAAGGGGCAGGAUGAUGUUUGCGCUGGCACAUUCCUGGUUUCCAAGGCCUUGAUAACCACCAUCUCAAUUCUGGAAAGGUUUGGGAACAGAGUUCCCGUCAACAUAUUCAUAAAUCUUGAUUUUGCAGAAUUCUUUUUUAAAACUACAACUGUCCAGCUGAUACUGCCACUGUCAUAUAAGUUGGUAAUGCUAGGGUGCUACUACCUGAAGGCAGAAAUACUUCAUGUCUACAAGGAGGAUCUCAAAGCACUGCUGAAAAGUUGGACGAAAUGAAGAGGUUAUGUGGCUUGCCUGAUGUCAUACAGUAAGCUGAACCAGAGGCAAAAUUGUGAAAUCACAGUCCUUUAUCCCUGAGACUUGUGUGCAAAUCUGAAGACCUCCACACCAUUCCUAUACCUGUGAUUAUAGGCAAAUCAGAGAAAAACAAACAAACAAAAACUAGCAUGCUUUGGGUGGCUGUAGUAUUAAAUUACUGGCAGGGAAACUCUGAGAACUCACAGGCAUGGUCUGUGACCUGAAGCUGGAGAAUGUUUUACUAAAUGGGUUGUUUGAUUGCAAAUGUCAGUAUCUUAACUUCGUGAUGGCUGCUGCCUGUUGCACUUCCAGAGACAGCCACUUCUGAUGGAUUCCUCUAAUAAUUCAAGUCAGCCACUUCCUCAGGAUAAAGUGGUAUGCGAAUAAAAAAAUCAGCUUGCUCAGUCACCAUCACCCCAUCAACCAAUGCUGAGCAUGUUUCCUCACUGCACACCAUUAACUCCUCAGCCAUAGCUGCUACUACCUCCUGAAGCUGGUUGGACUCAAGUACAGAGGUGCCAAGGGGGAGCAUUUGCUGGGGGCUCUGUGACUCAGCAGCUCUGCCACGCCUUGGAGAACAAGCUUAUCUUCCCAAGCAGUGGCACAGCCUGCCAAGCCAGCUCAUCCUGUGGCUUUGCAAUUGCUAGAUAUGGCACCAGAGGAGGGGAGGCAGGACUGCACCCCUUCAGCAGCAUUGCACUGCCAGUUGCUGCAUAGCCAUAAUAAAAGACCAUGAGCGUGUGCUCUCCUAUGCCAGCUAUGCCAGGGUGACCAUGGUCCUGUCCCUAUCAACGUGUUGUCUUCCCUUUGGUCCUCCAGGACAGGGCGGGUACCCUGUGAAGAGUUGCUGGUUUCCAGUUGACCCAGCUUGCAGACUUGGGUUUCCCCGCAGGAGCAGGCAGCAGGAGCACCUACGUACAGGUAUGGAGCUGAACCUCCCCACUGGUGACAUCUGGCCACUUGAUCACCUCAGGCAUGAAGCCGCCAUCUAAACCGGUUUUAAUCUGAUUGUAGUUAACUAUUCUGAGCACUGACAAGUUCCACUUAUGGAACAGACCUAGAAAGAGUGGGACGAUUGGGUGCCUUGCACCAGAAGGUCACCAGCUGUGUUAACACUACAUGAGUGCUCGUAGAGUAAGGUCAGCUGAGACACAAACACAUCUGAUUUAACCAUAGCCCUUACAAAAUCCUUCAUCACCCUCAUAGCUCAGGAGAGAAUAAAGCCCUUUAAAGAAUUUUAAUGACUUAAUGUUUAGCCCAACAUCUUAUUAAAAUUGUGAAAACUAAGUAGCUUUAAAAAGAGGAAAGGAGCAUUUCUGAACAGUGAUUUCAUAGUUAUGCUUCUGAGGGUGAACGUGGAUGUUUGGCUGUACCAAACUCACAAGUUAAUCCAUUUAGUUGAAACAAAAUGUUCAAAUUCAGUUUUCUAAUCUCAUUCCCAGCACUGAUCCUAUUAGUAUUUCUGAGACAAAUCUGUUGGGGAGUAGGAUGGGACCUCCAUACCACCCCUGUGAUCCUGCUGGAGGGAGCAUAGGCAUAGAGGGAAGCUUUGGCACCAACCCAUUUGAUUUUCACCUGAGCCUUGAGUGCUUUAGCUGUCCGCCUUCCCUCACUGUGGGAGGGCUGAUAGCAGUGCUAUAAUUAAAGCAAUUACAUUGCCAUUGAUGAAUGCCUGCAAGUAUCAGUAUGUCUAAUCCACCUGUAGAAAAUCCUCAGUGGACCAGAGACUGUGAUGUCUUUUAUUUGCUUCACACUGCUGCUACAUCUGGCCUGCAGACAGGAUAAAUUCUGCAAAAGAGAAGACGACCCCGGUAGCUGCUUUCACAACUGCACCGGAAGGCAGCUGUGCAGAUGCCAUUUUCUACGAACACCAGUUAGAAACCAAACAACUUUCCCCAUUUAAAUGAAUGAAAGUGACCGUAUCAUUCCGCUUUGUAACACGAACAUUAGAAAUGAAGCAAUUCUUUGAUCAAGUCAACACAAGUGAACAUCUCAGAGACCUGUCACAGUGAAUUACUGGACUGUUGGGAAAAAGAGAACUAGCCCUGUAUUUUGAGAAGCAGCUGACUAUUACAGCGUCUUCCCAGAUAGUCAUCAAAUGAAGGAUGAAGGAAUGCUACCAUUCACCCACUCAAAUGGGGAACUGACUGGUGCUAAACCAAGUUUUUUAGGGCUGGGUAUCUUUUUUA